AAUAGAAAUAGAGAGGCGAUGAAAGAGAGAGAGGCAACGAGGAAACGGGGAAAGAAGCAGAGAAAGAGAGAGGCGAUCCGAAAGAGGCAGAAUCAGACCACCGGAACCACAAAAACAUAGAAAGAAAAACCUAUGGCCCAUCAACACCGGUAAAUUUUUUCAGAUUUGAUUUGUUUUUGUUUUGGGUUUUUAAAACACAGAAGGAUUGAGAGAGGGAACUGUAGAUUGUUGAAACCGGCAUGGAGGCCGCAUACCCAUUAGCCCAUAAUCGGAGCUUAAUUGUAAUAUCUGUUGCUGUUUCUGUAUUCUUUGUCCAUGGGCUGUAUUUAUUUUGUUGCAGAUUUUGUUUUCUGCAGAACAGGACACAAAAGACAAAUUUGUAAGAAAAACAGAGGAAAGUGGUUUUCUAUUUACAACUGCCAUAUCUGCUGAAGAGGAAAAUCAGAUGAUGAUAGCAUGCCAAUUCAAAUGCUUCACAAACGAAGCAAGGCUACUAAACAAAAUGCAUUGAAGAAGAAGAAAAUUUGAACAGGAAAAAAUAGCAACUUAUUAAUAAGUUUUUCUAUUUUAGAAUUGUUAUGAUAGAACAUUAUAAUAUUGAAAGUUUAACGUAUCCCAAUGUAUUUUAUAAAUAUCAUAGUUACAAGUAAAACAAACCAAUAGAUGUACUAUAUUACCCGGAUGAAAUUUAAUGUAUUUUUUAUUAUAUUCUUAUGUUAAGUUGAUAGUAUUUUAAAUA